CAAAUUUCUGUGUGACUUUUAACCAUAGUCUUAACAUAAGACUGUGCCUUUAAAAUGGCAUUCCAUAUCUGCUUUCGUUUACGAGUUCGCAGACGCACUGAACCCAGCGUCAUAUGAUAGCUAAAGUUGUGUGACACCAGCCAGUAUCAGCCAAGGUGAUCACGACAUGUCACAUCUUCAGCCCAUGGUCUACAGCACAUGCUUCUGCGCUCACACUGUCAUCACAGACACCUAUUGCAACAGCAACACUGCAGACAGAGCAGCAAUGAAGGUUUCCAACUCCGCUGCGAAGUUUGGCCGACACAAUAGUGUUUACAAGCAAGUACCACAGUUGACGACGAACAUGUAGAUGCUGCCAAUGUCCAUCAGAGGGCAUCAACCAUCAGCAGAGGAAGGGGGUGAGAUGAUCAAUGAACUAUUUCCUGGCAAUCACGUGUGUGCAAAUAGUCCUGGAAAUAUCCUUCUACCAGCUCAGUCCUCUUCGAUGUGGAACAGUUGUACGGGUACAGAGUCGAACGGCACUCUAAUUGUAGGAAUUAGUAGUUAUUUGCUUGAUCCGCAGAAGGAGUCCUUA